UCAGAUUCAGCUAUUCUUUCCUCUCACCAAACAAAGUUGGGGAAUACUUUAUUUUUCCCUCAGAGAAGAAAAAAGCCGGAGAAGAAUUUUCAAAAGAAAAAAACCAAAGAAGGAGAAGAAAAAGGACGGCAAACAGCAGCCGCCAACGAAUACCCAGUCCACCUUCCGCAGCUCCCCCUCCUCCGCCCAAUCGACCACCAGCCAACAAACUCCACCCCCCGCCCAGCUCAGAGAUCCGGCCGCCGCACCAGGAUCCCGGAGAGGUGGCGCCGCCGCCGCCGCCAUGGCCCUCCACCACCGCGCGCGCCUCCGCUCCCGCGCCGCGCCGCUCCUAGCCGCCGUCGUCCUCGCGGUCCUCGCCCUCGUCUCGCUCCUCCGCGCNNNN
rnacentral:lncRNA from 1 species